rnacentral:rRNA from 1 species
UUCCAGACUCCUACGGGAGGCAGCAGUGAGGAAUAUUGGUCAAUGGGCUUACGCCUGAACCAGCCAAGUCGCGUGAGGGAAGACUGCCCUAUGGGUUGUAAACCUCUUUUGUCAGGGAGCAACGCCGGCUACGUGUAGCCGGACUGAGAGUACCUGAAGAAAAAGCAUCGGCUAACUACGUGCCAGCAGCCGCGGUAAUACGUAGGGGGCAAGCGUUAUCCGGAUUUACUGGGUGUAAAGGGAGCGUAGACGGCAGUGCAAGUCUGAAGUGAAAGCCCCGGGCUUAACCCGGGAAUUGCUUUGGAAACUGUACGGCUGGAGUGCUGGAGAGGUAAGCGGAAUUCCUAGUGUAGCGGUGAAAUGCGUAGAUAUUAGGAGGAACACCAGUGGCGAAGGCGGCUUACUGGACAGUAACUGACGUUGAGGCUCGAAAGCGUGGGGAGCAAACAGGAUUAGAUACCCGAGUA